rnacentral:rRNA from 1 species
UACGAAGGGGGCUAGCGUUGUUCGGAAUUACUGGGCGUAAAGGGCGCGUAGGCGGUACUUCAAGUCAGGCGUGAAAGCCCCGGGCUCAACCUGGGAAUGGCAUUGGAAACUGGCGGGCUGGAGUGUGGCAGAGGGGGGUGGAAUUCCGCGUGUAGCAGUGAAAUGCGUAGAGAUGCGGAGGAACACCGAUGGCGAAGGCAGCCCCCUGGGCUGACACUGACGCUCAGGCACGAAAGCGUGGGGAGCAAACAGG